rnacentral:rRNA from 1 species
AGUGAACGCUGGCGGUAGGCCUAACACAUGCAAGUCGAACGGCAGCACAGUAAGAGCUUGCUAUUACGGGUGGCGAGUGGCGGACGGGUGAGGAAUACAUCGGAAUCUACCUUUUCGCGGGGGAUAACGUAGGGAAACUUACGCUAAUACCGCAUACGACCUACGGGUGAAAGCAGGGGAUCUUCGGACCUUGCGCGAUUGAAUGAGCCGAUGUCGGAUUAGCUAGUUGGCGGGGUAAUGGCCCACCAAGGCGACGAUCCGUAGCUGGUCUGAGAGGAUGAUCAGCCACACUGGAACUGAGACACGGUCCGGACUCCUACGGGAGGCAGCGGUGGGGAAUAGAGGACAAUGGGCGCAAGCCUGAUCCAGCCAUACCGCGUAGGGUGAGAAGUCCUUCGGGUUGGAGAGCCCUUUUGUUGGGAUAGAAAAGCAGCAGGUUAAUACCCCGCUGUUCUGACGGUACCCAAAGAAUAAGCACCGGCUAACUUCGUG